CAAACAUAACAGCUUAUGUUUUCAAUUAGCUUCGGUUAUCUUUUUAUAGUUAGACAACUUAUUUAUUUUUGUCAUCUACAUGAAAAAAAUAGCCGGAGAUUUAUCAUUUAAAGACUCUUUGUAAAUGUGCAUGAUAAGUAUUUGAUCGCAAACAUGGCAACAUUGGGGGCAAGCAUUUCCUAUUAUAUCAUAGAACGUCUUUAACAAUUUCAACAAUCUUAGCAGGAAUGAUGUUAUGUGAAGUUUCUAUAAAUAUGAUAAUCAUUUGGUUCUGACCAGUUGCAGAACACGAACAUCAGAG
rnacentral:lncRNA from 1 species